UACGAAGGGGGCUAGCGUUGUUCGGAAUUACUGGGCGUAAAGCGUAUGCAGGCGGACUUUUAAGUCGGGGGUGAAAUCCCGAGGCUCAACCUCGGAACUGCCUUCGAUACUGAAAGUCUUGAGUCCGGGAGAGGUGAGUGGAACUGCGAGUGUAGAGGUGAAAUUCGUAGAUAUUCGCAAGAACACCAGUGGCGAAGGCGGCUCACUGGCCCGGUACUGACGCUGAGGCGCGAAAGCUAGGGGAGCAAACAGG
rnacentral:rRNA from 1 species